UUCAACUUGAGAGUUUGAUCCUGGCUCAGAACGAACGCUGGCGGCAGGCCUAACACAUGCAAGUCGAGCGCGACCUUCGGGUUGAGCGGCGGACGGGUUAGUAACGCGUGGGAACGUGCCCAGAUCUACGGAAUAGCCUCGGGAAACUGAGAGUAAUACCGUAUACGCCCUUCGGGGGAAAGAUUUAUCGGAUUUGGAUCGGCCCGCGUUAGAUUAGGUAGUUGGUGGGGUAAUGGCCUACCAAGCCUACGAUCUAUAGCUGGUUUUAGAGGAUGAUCAGCAACACUGGGACUGAGACACGGCCCAGACUCCUACGGGAGGCAGCAGUGGGGAAUCUUGGACAAUGGGCGCAAGCCUGAUCCAGCCAUGCCGCGUGAGUGAUGAAGGCCUUAGGGUCGUAAAGCUCUUUCGCCAGAGAUGAUAAUGACAGUAUCUGGUAAAGAAACCCCGGCUAACUCCGUGCCAGCAGCCGCGGUAAUACGGAGGGGGUUAGCGUUGUUCGGAAUUACUGGGCGUAAAGCGCACGUAGGCGGACCAGAAAGUUGGGGGUGAAAUCCCGGGGCUCAACCCCGGAACUGCCUCCAAAACUCCUGGUCUAGAGUUCGAGAGAGGUGAGUGGAAUUCCGAGUGUAGAGGUGAAAUUCGUAGAUAUUCGGAGGAACACCAGUGGCGAAGGCGGCUCACUGGCUCGAUACUGACGCUGAGGUGCGAAAGUGUGGGGAGCAAACAGGAUUAGAUACCCUGGUAGUCCACACCGUAAACGAUGAAUGCCAGUCGUCGGGUAGCAUGCUAUUCGGUGACACACCUAACGGAUUAAGCAUUCCGCCUGGGGAGUACGGUCGCAAGAUUAAAACUCAAAGGAAUUGACGGGG
rnacentral:rRNA from 1 species